UGGGGAAUAUUGCGCAAUGGGGGGAACCCUGACGCAGCCAUGCCGCGUGAAUGAAGAAGGCCUUAGGGUUGUAAAGUUCUUUCGGUAUUGAGGAAGGUUGAUGUGUUAAUAGCACAUCAAAUUGACGUUAAAUACAGAAGAAGCACCGGCUAACUCCGUGCCAGCAGCCGCGGUAAUACGGAGGGUGCGAGCGUUAAUCGGAAUAACUGGUCGUAAAGGGCACGCAGGCGGUUAUUUAAGUGAGGUGUGAAAGCCCCGGGCUUAACCUGGGAAUUGCAUUUCAGACUGGGUAACUAGAGUACUUUAGGGAGGGGUAGAAUUCCACGUGUAGCGGUGAAAUGCGUAGAGAUGUGGAGGAAUACCGAAGGCGAAGGCAGCCCCUUGGGAAUGUACUGACGCUCAUGUGCGAAAGCGUGGGGAGCAAACAGGAUUAGAUACCUGGUAGUCCACGCUGUAAACGCUGUCGAUUUGGGGGUCGGGGUUUAACUCUGGCGCCCGUAGCUAACGUGAUAAAUCGACCGCCUGGGGAGUACGGCCGCAAGGCUA
rnacentral:rRNA from 1 species